rnacentral:lncRNA from 1 species
GUGCAGCCCCAAUCGAUCGAGGUAACAUCUCAAGUCGAGGCACCAUCUCAAGUCGAGGAACUACCUCAGCAACCUGAGAAUCAGCCUCUACCACCUCAGUAGGCUUCGGGGAUGGCCCUCGAAUAGUUCAACCUACUCAUGCAGCAAGUUCAGACUCUGACUGUAGCCAUCCAAGUAAUCCAGCAGGUGGUCGUGGCCCCAUAGCUGACCCUGCAGCAAGUACCUCAGCAACAACAAUAACCUCUACCACCUCCCUGUGUUUAGAUCGAGCACAGUAGAGUCAGCAUAGCUGACCAAGGAGUUUGAAACGAGGUCAUCGAAGGUGCUCAUUGACCCCCCAGCUAGGAAAGGACUCCAUCCUAGAGAGAUCACCACCUCGACACCCAAACACUAUAUUGCUUAGGAUGCCGAUGUAGAUUGCAAGCUCUAGGAGAUGCAUCAGUAGAUCGAAGCACUGUGGGGUUAGGUAUCAGCAUA